rnacentral:rRNA from 1 species
GAUGAACGCUGGCGGCGUGCCUAAUACAUGCAAGUCGAGCGAACGGACGAGAAGCUUGCUUCUCUGAUGUUAGCGGCGGACGGGUGAGUAACACGUGGAUAACCUACCUAUAAGACUGGGAUAACUUCGGGAAACCGGAGCUAAUACCGGAUAAUAUUUUGAACCGCAUGGUUCAAUAGUGAAAGACGGUCUUUCUGUCACUUAUAGAUGGAUCCGCGCUGCAUUAGCUAGUUGGUAAGGUAACGGCUUACCAAGGCAACGAUGCAUAGCCGACGUGAGAGGGUGAUAGGCCACACUGGAACUGAGACACGGUCCAGACUCCUACGGGAGGCAGCAGUAGGGAAUCUUCCGCAAUGGGCGAAAGCCUGACGGAGCAACGCCGCGUGAGUGAUGAAGGUCUUCGGAUCGUAAAACUCUGUUAUUAGGGAAGAACAGAUGUGUAAGUAACUGUGCACAUCUUGACGGUACCUAAUCAGAAAGCCACGGCUAACUACGUG